GACGAACGCUGGCGGCGUGCUUAACACAUGCAAGUCGAACGGAAAGGCGCAGCUUGCUGGGUACUCGAGUGGCGAACGGGUGAGUAACACGUGGGUGAUCUGCCCUGCACUCUGGGAUAAGCCUGGGAAACUGGGUCUAAUACCGGAUAUGACCAACUGUCGCAUGGUGGUUUGUGGAAAGCUUUUGCGGUGUGGGAUGGGCCCGCGGCCUAUCAGCUUGUUGGGGGGGUAAUGGCCUACCAAGUCGACGACGGGUAGCCGACCUGAGAGGGUGAUCGGCCACACUGGGACUGAGACACGGCCCAGACUCCUACGGGAGGCAGCAGUGGGGAAUAUUGCACAAUGGGCGCAAGCCUGAUGCAGCGACGCCGCGUGAGGGAUGACGGCCUUCGGGUUGUAAACCUCUUUCACCAGGGACGAAGCGUGAGUGACGGUACCUGGAGAAGAAGCACCGGCCAACUACGUGCCAGCAGCCGCAGUAACAC
rnacentral:rRNA from 1 species